rnacentral:rRNA from 1 species
CAGCCGCGCGGUAAUACAGAGGGUGCGAGCGUUAAUCGGAUUUACUGGGCGUAAAGCGUGCGUAGGCGGCUUUUUAAGUCGGAUGUGAAAUCCCUGAGCUUAACUUAGGAAUUGCAUUCGAUACUGGGAAGCUAGAGUAUGGGAGAGGAUGGUAGAAUUCCAGGUGUAGCGGUGAAAUGCGUAGAGAUCUGGAGGAAUACCGAUGGCGAAGGCAGCCAUCUGGCCUAAUACUGACGCUGAGGUACGAAAGCAUGGGGAGCAAACAGGAUUAGAUACCCGCGUAGUCCCUGUCUCUUAUACC